UGUGGUUUUUUUUUCUUCUUUUGCGCGCCUCUGGUACACACUGCCAGUAUUUUACAUAAGGGAGUUGCGCGAAUGCCGUUUCUUGCACACAGCGCUAAAAUGCCUAGUUACGGCACUGGUGGUUAGCAUUGCUGCCUCACGGCACUGAGGUCACUAAUGUUACGUUUGUUUCCCACCAUGGAUCAGACUACUAACUACAUGGAGUGUGAUUAUAAUUUACUCCUUUGGGCUACAUAUAAUGUCACUGCUUAGCACGGCCAUGUACCUGGCUUCUGUGUGAUGACACUUUUGCCUUCGGGUAUGUUACUAUUCUAACAUAUGCAAUAUACAGUAUAACUGUCUUACUCUCUAUAGGGGAGGAGCAUAAAGCAGAGAGAUUGUGACGGCAGACAUAGUGACUACGCCAUAAGGACCUGCGGAGGAACUUCACGGUUUUUGCCUUGGAGCCCAGCAGUGUGGGUAAUCCGGAUAGCACUCUGCUUUUAUACCACCAGUGGCUCCAUCCUCACUGACCGGCCUUGCUUAUCAAUCCUGUGGCCGUGGCCAGGAGACUGAUUAUAGCCGCAAGAACAGGAGCUGCAGAACUGCGCUUCUUCCAGAUUCUAACAAAAUGUGUCUGAGGGACAGGACGUAGCUGCGUCGUGGUGAAACGCAUUGGAUGUUAUCCGCUGGUUAGCUGUUAUCAGUUCACAUAAGGGGAGGAGCCUAAAGCAGAGAGAUUGUGACGGCAGACAUAGUGACUACGCCAUAAGGACCUGCGGAGGAACUUCCCGGUUUUUGCCUUGGAGCCCAGCAGUGUGGGUAAUCCGGAUAGCACUCUGCUUUUAUACCACCAGUGGCUCCAUCCUCACUGACCGGGUAAGGACACUCUGAUCCACUUGAACAUUUACCGGACUCCCUGAUUUGCACAAUUAUCGCUGCCUGUUUUCAGGAAACACAUACCAUAUUUUCUGGAUAGACUUCAAGGACACUUAUUGUUUUAUUGUGUUGUAUAUAAAUCUGCAUGACUUGCAUAUAAAUGUCAGUACCGUUGAAUGUUAUUGUUAUUUCCUUUUGGAAAACACAUGCCAUGUUUUCUGGAUAAACUUCAUACUACUUAGGAAACACAUGCCAUGUUUUCUAGAUGACUCAUAUGCUCUUUUACUGUUCUGUUUUUAAACUGUAUUAUCUUCUGAAUCUUUUUUACUCAUAUUCGUAAUAAAUCUUUUAUAUUGGGAUCUCA